rnacentral:tRNA from 1 species
GGGGAUAGCUCAAGUGGUAGAGCAUAUGCUUAGCAUGCAUGGGGUCCUGAGUUCAAUCCCCAGUACCUCCU